rnacentral:snoRNA from 1 species
CUGCUGCCAGUUAAACUGAGCAGGUCCUUUCUUGAUGGGGCCUGGUGUGCAGUGGCCACAGACAGCAGUGUCCUGAAGAGCACGUUUGUUGCCUGAAUGGGCUGCCCUGAGGGGUCCUGGGGACAGUC